UGCCGUGAUGAGGAACCUGCUCACACACAGAGACUUGCUCCUACUCUGCCACAAGAGAUGCAGCACUGACGUCGGCUGAUGAAGCCCGGACCGCUGCCCAGGUUGAGGUCAGCUGUUGUCAGAGCUCUCAGCAGUGACAUCAUGGAUUACCUCACCAUGAGAACAUGUUCACCAGGGACGUGGCCUACAUGCCGACGCUGGACUCUGUCCUGGGUCGCCCUGGAUGAUGCAGCUUGUCGCAUCUCAAUCCCACCUGCAGGAAGCAUUAGUGUGCAGUGGACAUAAAUCAGAGAGAGGUGCGAAGGCAUUAAACCAACUGCAGGCAGGAUUGACUAAGAUCAUGUCGACUGAUGUGCCAGAACAGAUGCACAGUGAAACUCGGACAUGUCAACAAAGUGAGACACAAGCAGAAGUCCAGGCCUCCCGAACGACG